CAGUCGCCGCGGUAAGACAGAGGAUGCAAGCGUUAUCCGGAAUGAUUGGGCGUAAAGCGUCUGUAGGUGGCUUUUCAAGUCCGCCGUCAAAUCCCAGGGCUCAACCCUGGACAGGCGGUGGAAACUACCAAGCUGGAGUACGGUAGGGGCAGAGGGAAUCUCCGGUGGAGCGGUGAAAUGCGUUGAGAUCGGAAAGAACACCAACGGCGAAAACACUCUGCUGGGCCGACACUGACACUGAGAGACGAAAGCUAGGGGAGCAAAUGGGAUUAGAUACCCGGGUAGUCCCUGUCUCUUAUAC
rnacentral:rRNA from 1 species